UAAGGAAUAUUGGUCAAUGGACGGAAGUCUGAACCAGCCAUGCCGCGUGCAGGAAGACGGCCCUACGGGUUGUAAACUGCUUUUGCAGGGGAAUAAACCCCGAUACGUGUAUCGGGUUGAAUGUACUCUGAGAAUAAGGAUCGGCUAACUCCGUGCCAGCAGCCGCGGUAAUACGGAGGAUCCAAGCGUUAUCCGGAUUUAUUGGGUUUAAAGGGUGCGUAGGUGGCCUGUUAAGUCAGGGGUGAAAGACGGUAGCUUAACUAUCGCAGUGCCCUUGAUACUGAUGGGCUUGAAUGAACUAGAGGUAGGCGGAAUGUGACAAGUAGCGGUGAAAUGCAUAGAUAUGUCACAGAACACCAAUUGCGAAGGCAGCUUACUAUGGUUUUAUUGACACUGAGGCACGAAAGCGUGGGGAUCAAACA
rnacentral:rRNA from 1 species